UGAAUCCAUUCCAUUUGCAUCCAUUCAAUUCGAAUCCAUUCCAUUCGUGUCCAUUCCAUUCCAUUCCAUUCCCUUUGAGUCCAUUCCAUUCGAUUCCAUUCCAUUCCAGUCCAUUCCAUUCGGUUCCAUUCCAUUCCUUUCCAUUCCAUUCGAUUCCAUUCCAUUCGAUUCCAUUCCAUUCAAUUCCAUUCCAUUCGAGACUGUACUAUUACACUCCAUUCGAUUCCAUUCCAUUCGAUUACAUUCCAUUCGAUUCCAUUCCAUUGCAUUCCAUUCCAUUCCAUUCGAUUGCAUUCCACUCCACUCCACUCCAUUCCUCUCCAUUCCAUUCCACUCCACUCCAUUCCAUACCAUUCCAUUCCACUCCAUUCCAUUCCACUCCACUCCAUUCCAUUGCAUUCCACUCCACUCCACUCCACUCCAUUCCAUUCCAUUUCACUCCAUUGCAUUCCAUUCCUUUCUUUUGACAGGAUAUCACUGUGUCACCCAGGCUGGAGUGCAGUGGCACAAUCUCUGCUCACAUUACAUGUCAACUUUCCUUUUCACUGCAUUCUAUUCCAUUGCAUUCCAUUGCUUUCCAUUGCAUUCCAUUCCAUUCCAUUCCACUCCACUCUACUCCACUCCAUUCCAUACCAUUCCGUUCCUUUCUUUCCAAAGGAUCUCACUCUGUCACAGAGGCUGGAGUGCAGUGGCACAAUCUCAGGUCACAUUACAUGUCAACUUUCCAUUUCUUUGCAUUCAAUUGCAUUCCAUUCCUUUCCAUUACAUUCCAUCACACUCCGACUCCGACUCCACUCCACUCCUCUACAUUCCAUUACAUCCUAUUCCAUUCCACUCUAUUCCACUCCUCUCCACUCCACUGCACUCCACUCCACUCCAUUCCACUCC
rnacentral:lncRNA from 1 species